GGGCCUGUGGCUCAGCUGGGAGAGCAUCUCGUUCGCAACGAGAGGGUCAGCGGUUCGAAUCCGCUCAGGUCCACCA
rnacentral:tRNA from 1 species